rnacentral:lncRNA from 9 species
CUGCCUUUGUCCCCAGGGCAAGGCCAGGAUUACAUUCAGGGCAAAGGUCCAGGGGCACAACACAGCAUUGUGAUGCAACAGAGAUGACGGCAGAGCAGCAGAAAGCUGGAGCCCAAAUCAAGGCUCCCCAGUUUCCACAACCUAGAGAAGAGUGCCUUUCUGGCCCAUCAUGAUGCUACAAGCAACAGACAUCCUCUAAUUUGGUAACUUGUCUAGGCAAAUACAAUACAUUAUUGCAACAGCUAAAAAAGUAUUUGGACUCGCAGUUCAAAUGGCAUCUCAACACCCCGCUACACUGGGAAUGGCCAGGAGAAAUCCCAGGAGGAUAAGUCAGGCUGAUGAGACUGCUAGUCACUGGCUCUCCCACUGAUGAUAAAGGCACAGAAUGCCCACUUCGUCUACUAGCCAAGACACAGAGCUGGGGUCUCCACUGGUGCCCAAGGCCUGCCCAGAGACUACUAGAACCCAAUGUCACAGGAGGCACACCCAGAUUCUUGUACUCAUGUUACCUAAACCUGAAACCCUCAAAGUACUUAAAGAGAUGUCAGCAAAAGAGCUAUUUGUGGUUUUCACUUGCUUUUAUUUAAGUCAACUUUACCAUACAGCUCAGACUGGAGUUGCUGAGGAUCUGGUACACUCACAGUGUUCAAAAUCAUGCUGUUCUUGGCAUGAACCAGGUAUAUCUUAGUUUCAUUUUUUCUUAGGACAAUUUCUUUCCCAAGGAUCUCAUUGGUCACUAAUGCAAAUAGACAGCUGAGGAGCCUGAGCUUUCA